GAUGAAGAACGUAGCGAAAUGCGAUACGUAAUGUGAAUUGCAGAAUUCAGUGAACCAUCGAAUCUUUGAACGCACAUUGCGCCCGGCAGUAAUCUGCCGGGCAUGCCUGUCCGAGCGUCAUUUCUAUCCUCGAGCGAGUCCAGCAUCUAGGUGCUGGGCCUCGCCCGGCGUUGGAGCACUACGGGAAGCCCUGUGCUGUCCCCCGUAGGCCCCGAAAUGAAGUGGCGGUCCUGCCGCGGCGCCCCCUGCGUAGUAUAACAGCUCGCUUCGGGACCCGGUGGAGGCCUGCCGUCAAACCUAUACUCUCUAAGUUUGACCUCGGAUCAGGUAGGGUUACCCGCUGAACUUAAGCAUAUCAAUAAGCGGAGGA
rnacentral:misc_RNA from 1 species